GGAGGAGGAGGAGGAGGAGGAGAGGGAGUGAGAAUGGUGGUUUUGGAGGUGGUGACGGUGGCAUUGUUGUGAAAGAGAAGUUUGGUUUGGGGGGAGGGAAUGUAUGCGUGAGUGAGUGGGUGAAGUGAGGGAGUGAAUGUACAGUGUGGCUUUUGCAAGUGGAGAAAGGGGAGAGCUUGGGAAGUGAGAAGAAGAGGAUUAGAUUAGAUAAUUAAUGGGCAAAUGGUGGAUUGCUGGAGAGACUACUUUCAUACCCUUGGAUUUCUGACCUAUUUGCAAAUGCAAUGUGCCCCUUUUUAUGUGAUUCUUUCUCACAGCCCUUUUUUCUAUAUGGC
rnacentral:lncRNA from 1 species